rnacentral:rRNA from 1 species
GGUAACCCUUUUGGGAGCCAGCCGCCGAAGGUGGGACAGAUGAUUGGGGUGAAGUCGUAACAAGGUAGCCGUAUCGGAAGGUGCGGCUGGAUCACCUCCUUUCUAAGGA